GCACGUGUGGUUCGGUGGCUAGAGCGCCUCUCUUUCACACAGAAGACCUAGGUUCGAUCCUUGGUUGCA
rnacentral:tRNA from 1 species